rnacentral:rRNA from 1 species
AGAGUUUGAUCCUAGCUCAGGAUGAACGCUGGCGGCAUGCCUAAGACAUGCAAGUCGAACGAAGCACAUACAGAAAGCGUACUUGUACGGUGGACGUAUAUGACUUAGUGGCGAACGGGUGAGUAACAGGUAGGUAAUCUACCCUAGAGACGGGGAUAACAUUUGGAAACGGAUGCUAAUACCGGAUAGGAUAAUUGAUCGCAUGGUUGAUUAUUUAAAGGUGCUUUUGGCAGCACUCUAGGAGGAGCCUGCUUCGUAUUAGCUAGUUGGUUGGGUAAAAGCCAACCAAGGCAACGAUGCGUAGCCGAGCUGAGAGGCUGAUCGGCCACACUGGAACUGAGACACGGUCCAGACUCCUACGGGAGGCAGCAGUUAGGGAUAUUCGGCAAUGGGGGAAACCCUGACCGAGCAAUGCCGCGUGAAUGAAGAAGUAUUUCGAUAUGUAAAGUUCUGUUGUUGAGGAAGAACAUUAAGAUGAGGAAAUGCAUUUUAAAUGACGGUACUCAACCAGAAAGCCCCUGCUAACUACGUGCCAGCAGCAGCGGUAAUACGUAGGGGGCAAGCGUUAUCCGGAAUUAUUGGGCGUAAAGGGUGCGUAGGCGGCCUAUUAAGUCUAAGUUGAAAGCCCACGGCUUAACCGUGGAGGGUGCUUAGAAACUAAUGGGCUUGAAUCCAGAAGAGGCAAGUGGAAUUCUAUAUGGAGCGGUGGAAUGCGUAGAUAUAUGGAGGAACACCAGCGGCGAAGGCGGCUUGCUGGGCUGGUAUUGACGCUGAGGCACGAAAGCGUGGGGAGCAAACAGGAUUAGAUACCCUGGUAGUCCACGCCGUAAACGAUGAGUACUAAGUGUUGGGGAGACUCAGUGCUGAAGUUAACAUAUUAAGUACUCCGCCUGGGGAAUACGAUCGCAAGAUUGAAACUCAAAGGAAUUGACGGGGACCCGCACAAGCGGUGGAGCAUGUGGUUUAAUUCGAGGCAACGCGAAGAACCUUACCAGGUCUUGACAUACUAUUGACAGGUCUAGAGAUAGAUUUUUUCUACGGAACAAUAGAUACAGGUGGUGCAUGGUUGUCGUCAGCUCGUGUCGUGAGAUGUUGGGUUAAGUCCCGCAACGAGCGCAACCCUUGUCUUUAGUUACUAACAUUCAGUUGAGGACUCUAGAGAAACUGCCAGUGAUAAACUGGAGGAAGGUGGGGAUGACGUCAAAUCAUCAUGCCCCUUAUGACCUGGGCUACACACGUGCUACAAUGGUUGGAAACAAUGAGACGCAAAGUCGCAAGAUGAAGCAAACCUCAAAAAGACAAUCUCAGUUCGGAUUGUAGUCUGCAACUCGACC